GUAGGUGGCAAGCGUUGUCCGGAAUUAUUGGGCGUAAAGCGCGCGCAGGCGGUUCUUUAAGUCUGAUGUGAAAGCCCACGGCUCAACCGUGGAGGGUCAUUGGAAACUGGAGAACUUGAGUACAGAAGAGGAAAGCGGAAUUCCACGUGUAGCGGUGAAAUGCGUAGAGAUGUGGAGGAACACCAGUGGCGAAGGCGGCUUUCUGGUCUGUAACUGACGCUGAGACGCGAAAGCGUGGGGGAGCAAACAGGAUUAGAUACCCUGGUAGUCCACGCCGUAAACGAUGAGUGCUAAGUGUUAGGGGGUUUCCGCCCCUUAGUGCUGCAGCUAACGCAUUAAGCACUCCGCCUGGGAGUACGGCCGCAAGGCUG
rnacentral:rRNA from 1 species